GACGAACGCUGGCGGCGUGCUUAACACAUGCAAGUCGAACGGAAAGGCCCUGCUUUUGUGGGGUGCUCGAGUGGCGAACGGGUGAGUAACACGUGAGUAACCUGCCCUUGACUUUGGGAUAACUUCAGGAAACUGGGGCUAAUACCGGAUAGGAGCUCCUGCUGCAUGGUGGGGGUUGGAACGUUUCGGCGGGUGGGGAUGGACUCGCGGCUUAUCAGCUUGUUGGUGGGGUAGUGGCUUACCAAGGCUUUGACGGGUAGCCGGCCUGAGAGGGUGACCGGCGACAUUGGGACUGAGAGACGGCCCAGACUCCUACGGGAGGCAGCAGUGGGGAAUAUUGCACAAUGGGCGGAAGCCUGAUGCAGCAACGCCGCGGGCGGGAUGACGGCCUUCGGGUUGUAAACCGCUUUCGCCUGUGACGAAGCGUGAGUGACGGUAAUGGGUAAAGAAGCACCGGCUAACUACGUG
rnacentral:rRNA from 1 species